GAUGAACGCUGGCGGCGUGCCUAAUACAUGCAAGUCGAGCGAAUGGAUUAAGAGCUUGCUCUUAUGAAGUUAGCGGCGGACGGGUGAGUAACACGUGGGUAACCUGCCCAUAAGACUGGGAUAACUCCGGGAAACCGGGGCUAAUACCGGAUAACAUUUUGAAACGCAUGGUUCGAAAUUGAAAGGCGGCUUCGGCUGUCACUUAUGGAUGGACCCGCGUCGCAUUAGCUAGUUGGUGAGGUAACGGAUCACCAAGGCAACGAGGCGUAACCGACCUGAGAGGGUGAUCGGCCACACUGGGACUGAGACACGGCCCAGACUCCUACGGGAGGCAGCAGUAGGGAAUCUUCCGCAAUGGACGAAAGUCUGACGGAGCAACGCCGCGUGAGUGAUGAAGGCUUUCGGGUCGUAAAACUCUGUUGUUAGGGAAGAACAAGUGCUAGUUGAAUAAGCUGGCACCUUGACGGUACCUAACCAGAAAGCCACGGCUAACUACGUGCCAGCAGCCGCCGUAA
rnacentral:rRNA from 1 species